GGGAUUUAAAGGGUGAUCAAAUUCUAAAAUGAUUUAUAUUGAUCGGCAUGUGCAAGUAAUUUGCUUAUAUCAUCCUAAAUGAUUUAAAGCCUUAAUUAUAUUGGCCAAGAUAUUUAGAAAGGAUGCCACCAAUUACUCUAGUGGUUGUUUGCCAACAUUUUUGAUGUUUGGAGAGCAUCGAAAGCAAGAGGUCCCAGCAGGACAAGGAAAGGAAAAGGCAAGCAAAAAGUGAACUACGAUAUGACGCAUGAGCCACGGGACAUGGGAUUAGCGGACUUCAAGAAGGGUUAAUUGUAGUCUCUCUAAAUUGAUUCGAGUUUGUUGGCCCCAUUGGCAUCCAGACACGAACAUCCAAUCGAUGAUGAGUGCGUCCUGCUCCCAGUGAACUUGCUCCGUAGAGAUGCGUACGACGAUUUGAACCAGAGAGGUCCAUGGGCAAAAUUAUUUUCUUGGUAGAUUCCUUCAAUCCCAGAUCAAAGUUUGUUUUGUUUAAGGAUAUAUAUUUUAGGAUGAUUGGAUACUAGAAAGAAGAAAUAUUGUCAUGGCAAAAAAAAAAAAGCUGUCAUUUUUCCAUUAAAAGGUUUUCAUCGAUUUGUAUCUAGCUGGUAAAAGAAUGCCACUUGCAGUGCCAUGAUUUUAUUUUGUUUUACUUUAUUUGAUAGCGGCGGUAUCGUGUUCACUGGAACGGAAAUCUCAUUUUCCACCACAAGUGGUAUCAUCUCAUGAGAAGUUUUGCAUGACGGAGAGGAGUAAAGAAGAUCUAUUUUGCAAACACAGCAGGCGUGAUGCACCUUCCGCAGCUGUACCUGUACUGAGUCGCGAUACAAUCCCUGUAGUGGUAUCCUCAUCAUCAGGUGCCAGAUAAUGAGGCCAUGUAACGAGUAUGGCACGGAGAGAGAGAGAAGGGUAGGGAAGGAAAAGGCCAAGGAAAUCUUCUAUUGUAGUGUC
rnacentral:lncRNA from 1 species